UGCCGCGUGUGUGAAGAAGGCCUUCGGGUUGUAAAGCACUUUUGUCCGGAAAGAAAUGGCUCUGGUUAAUACCUGGGGUCGAUGACGGUACCGGAAGAAUAAGGACCGGCUAACUACGUGCCAGCAGCCGCGGUAAUACGUAGGGUCCAAGCGUUAAUCGGAAUUACUGGGCGUAAAGCGUGCGCAGGCGGUUGUGCAAGACCGAUGUGAAAUCCCCGAGCUUAACUUGGGAAUUGCAUUGGUGACUGCACGGCUAGAGUGUGUCAGAGGGGGGUAGAAUUCCACGUGUAGCAGUGAAAUGCGUAGAGAUGUGGAGGAAUACCGAUGGCGAAGGCAGCCCCCUGGGAUAACACUGACGCUCAUGCACGAAAGCGUGGGGAGCAAACAGGAUUAGAUACCCUGGUAGUCCACGCCCUAAACGAUGUCAACUAGUUGUUGGGGAUUCAUUUCCUUAGUAACGUAGCUAACGCGUGAAGUUGACCGCCUGGGGAGUACGGUCGCAAGAUUAAAACUCAA
rnacentral:rRNA from 2 species